CGCGAAGCAAAAGCUUUACAAACUGCACGAGGGAGAGCCCAGGAGGAGGAGGAGGAGGCAGAGAGACACACUAUGAAGAGGGGCAGCGGGAGGGAGAGGUCUGGCCAUUCCUCCUCCCCAGCCACUGGCAGGCAGCAGUGACUGAUUGCAGCUGGAUGGAGAGAAAGACAAGCUCCUGGAUGCCAUCAGAAACCUGACGGGACAUCUGAAAGCAACAAGUGCCUUCUUCCUCCUCCUCCCCCUCCUCACCUGGACACCAGCCCCCGAAGCCAGAGCCAGGGAAGCCAAGAGCAGAGGCCAGCAGGGAUGGAAUCGCUGAUCUUUAAGCUCAUCGGAGAGCAGCAGAAGGGCAAAAAGAUGAUGGUGUGGAGACCAGUGAAGACAAACUGUGUGCGAAGGAACCUCUUUGGUCCUGUGGACCACGAGCAGCUGCAGAAGGACUUCCAGCAGCUACUGCGCAGCGGUGUAGAGGGAGCCAAGCAGAAGUGGAACUUUGACUUCCUACGAGAAAUACCAGCUGAGGGGCUCCUGCAAUGGGAAGAGCUACAGGGCCAUGAGGUCCCAGCCUUUUACCACAGCUGUGUGGUAGGAGAGGCUCGCAAGCCCUUGCAGCUCUUGAACCGGCCCAUGGGCAAGGAAGCCAGGGCUCACCAGUUUGCCAAGGUGACACUGACUGAGAAAUCCAAAGCUCCCAAGAAAAUUGUAGGCAAGAGCCCAGAAGUGAAGAAACAAAGACAGGCUUCCGUCACAGUUUUAGAGCUGCCCACAGAUAAUCAGGUGCUGUCUUCCCAAAAAUGAAGUAUGAGGAACAACAGAAUCAGAAGAGGGUAGAGCAGGAACCAGAAGGAAGAAGCCAUUGUAGAUAUGAAUAUUAUUUUGUAUAUGGUCUUCAGCAAAAGCCUCUAGAGAUUUUUUUAAGAGACAGAUCAGUCUGAAAUUUGGCCAGAUGGCAGAAAGGGCCAAUUUUUCAGAUUACUACUCAGCGAAGAAGAGAGUCAAAACUAACACAAAAGCUGCUUCAGAAAAUGUGGCUUUCUGAAAGGGAACACAGGGUUAAUCUGCACCAGAGAUGUUUCAAAAAGCUGGCAAAUACAUUUGACGGUCAGAAAAUGUGCGUGCAAGCUAUGAACACUUACAGCAUCACAGAGAGAGACAUUCAUGGAAGCAGCAAUGGCAAGUCUUACAAGCACAACAAAAACAGCAUCAGGAUGAUGUCAGGCCAAAUAAACUGGAAUCCCUUUUAA